GACGAACCGAGCGAACGUUAUUCGGAAUCACUGGGCUUAAAGGGCGCGUAGGCGGGCGGUCAAGUCAGGGGUGAAAGCCCCCAGCUCAACUGGGGAAGUGCCUCUGAUACUGGUCGUCUCGAGGGAGGUAGGGGCGUGCGGAACUUCCGGUGGAGCGGUGAAAUGCGUAGAGAUCAGGAGGAACACCCGUGGCGAAGGCGGCCCUCUGGCUCGACCCUGACGCUGAGGCGCGAAAGCGUGGGGAGCGAACGGG
rnacentral:rRNA from 1 species